UACGUAGGGUGCGAGCGUUAAUCGGAAUCACUGGGCGUAAAGCGCGCGUAGGCGGCUUUUCAAGUCAGGGGUGAAAUCCCACGGCCCAACCGUGGAACUGCCUUUGAAACUGUAGAGCUUGAGUGUCGGAGAGGGUGGCGGAAUUCCAGGUGUAGGAGUGAAAUCCGUAGAUAUCUGGAGGAACACCGGUGGCGAAGGCGGCCACCUGGACGACAACUGACGCUGAGGUGCGAAAGCGUGGGUAGCAAACAGG
rnacentral:rRNA from 1 species